rnacentral:lncRNA from 10 species
GAGAUUGCAGUGAGCCAUGAUCACACCACUGCAUUCCAGCCUGGGUAAGAGAGGAAGACCCUGUCCCAGUAAAAAUAAGGGUGGAUGUUGCUUACUUCUCCAGGACUGCAUAAUUGUGGUGUAUUAUGAAAAAUAUUCAGCUUUGUAGUCAAGCAGCCCAAUGCAAAUGCAGUCUCUGCUAUUUAUCUACAUGACCUUGGGCAGUUAAUUAACUUCUCUGAACUUCAGUUUUUCCAUGUGUAAAAUGAGGCUAAUUAGAAAGGUACCGUCUACCUUAAGGUCUUACUGCGUAGAUGGGUAAAGGGCCUUGAGAUGGUAUACACAGUACACCUAGCAGUGAGAUCCCACCCAGCAGGUGGGAUUUUAGUUACUAUUUUUCUUACCCAUCUUUCCAUAUAGUUUGUUGGCCUCUGGUAUGUUUCUUCUUGCUAGCCUUUCUGCUUCCACCCUUAACCACAUAAUAGUAAUCACAUACCGCACAGCUUGGUUCAGCAUAAUCGAUGCCCAGUGUGGUCAUGGCCCGGAUGAUAGCCAGGAUGGACUGCAGCACAUUUCCAUAGAUGAUAGCCUUGAAC